GUGGGGAAUAUUGGACAAUGGGCGCAAGCCUGAUCCAGCAAUGCCGCGUGGGUGAAGAAGGUCUUCGGAUCGUAAAGCCCUUUCGACAGGGACGAUGAUGACGGUACCUGUAGAAGAAGCCCCGGCUAACUUCGUGCCAGCAGCCGCGGUAAUACGAAGGGGGCUAGCGUUACUCGGAAUUACUGGGCGGAAAGGGCGCGUAGGCGGCUCUGUUAGUCAGGCGUGAAAUUCCUGGGCUUAACCUGGGGACUGCGCUUGAUACUGCAGGGCUUGAGGCCGAGAGAGGGUGGUGGAAUUCCCAGUGUAGAGGUGAAAUUCGUAGAUAUUGGGAAGAACACCGGUGGCGAAGGCGACCACCUGGCUCGGUUCUGACGCUGAGGCGCGACAGCGUGGGGAGCAAACAGGAUUAGAAACCCGUGUAGUCC
rnacentral:rRNA from 1 species